GUAGGGAAUAUUGGACAAUGGGGGCAACCCUGAUCCAGCGACGCCGCGUGAGUGAUGAAGGCCUUCGGGUCGUAAAGCUCUGUUGCAGGGGAAGAACACAAUGACGGUACCCUGCUAGAAAGGAUCGGCUAACUUCGUGCCAGCAGCCGCGGUAAGACGAGGGAUCCUAGCGUUGUUCGGAAUUCUUGGUCGUAAAGCGGGUGCAGGUGGCUUGGUAAGUCAGAUGUGAAAGCCUGGGGCUUAACACCAGAAGUGCAUUUGAUACUGCUGAGCUUGAGUGCUGGAGAGGCUAGUAGAAUUCCUGGUGUAGUGGUGAAAUACGUAGAUAUCAGGAGGAAGACCGGAGGCGAAGGCGGAUAGCUGGCCAGACACUGACACUCAGACCCGAAAGCGUGGGGAUCAAACAGGAUUAGAAACCCGUGUAGUCC
rnacentral:rRNA from 1 species